AUUGAACGCUGGCGGCAGGCCUAACACAUGCAAGUCGAACGAGUGGCGGACGGGUGAGUAAUGUCUGGGAAACUGCCUGAUGGAGGGGAUAACUACUGGAAACGGUAGCUAAUACCGCAUACCAUCAGAUGUGCCCAGAUGGGAGUAGCUAGUGGGUGGGGUAACGGCUCACCAAGGCGACGAUCCCUAGCUGGUCGGAGAGGAUGACCAGCCACACUGGACCUGAGACACGGUCGAGCCUCCUACGGGAGGCAGCAGUGGGGAAUAUUGCACAAUUGGCGGCAGCCUGAUGCAGCCAUGCCGCGUGUAUGACGAAGGCCUUCGGGUUUUAAAGUACUUUCAGCGGGGCGGCGUUACCCGCAGAAGAAGCACCGGCUAACUCCGUGCCAGCAGCCGCGGUAAUUC
rnacentral:rRNA from 1 species